rnacentral:rRNA from 1 species
CAGCAGCCGCGGGAAUACAGAGGGUGCGAGCGUUAAUCGGAUUUACUGGGCGUAAAGCGUGCGUAGGCGGCUUUUUAAGUCGGAUGUGAAAUCCCUGAGCUUAACUUAGGAAUUGCAUUCGAUACUGGGAAGCUAGAGUAUGGGAGAGGAUGGUAGAAUUCCAGGUGUAGCGGUGAAAUGCGUAGAGAUCUGGAGGAAUACCGAUGGCGAAGGCAGCCAUCUGGCCUAAUACUGACGCUGAGGUACAAAAGCAUGGGGAGCAAACAGGAUUAGAUACCCCUGUAGUCCCUGUCUCUUAUAC